GCUCAGGACGAACGCUGGCGGCGUGCUUAACACAUGCAAGUCGAACGCUGAAGCCUAGCUUGCUGGGUGGAUGAGUGGCGAACGGGUGAGUAACACGUGAGUAACCUGCCCUCUUCUUUGGGAUAACGCCCGGAAAUGGGUGCUAAUACUGGAUAUUCACUGGUCUUCGCAUGGGGGUUGGUGGAAAGGGUUUUUCUGGUGGGGGAUGGGCUCGCGGCCUAUCAGCUUGUUGGUGGGGUGAUGGCCUACCAAGGCUUUGACGGGUAGCCGGCCUGAGAGGGUGACCGGUCACAUUGGGACUGAGAUACGGCCCAGACUCCUACGGGAGGCAGCAGUGGGGAAUAUUGCACAAUGGGCGCAAGCCUGAUGCAGCGACGCCGCGUGAGGGAUGGAGGCCUUCGGGUUGUGAACCUCUUUCGCUCAUGGUCAAGCCGCAACUGUGGGUUGUGGUGAGGGUAGUGGG
rnacentral:rRNA from 1 species